CUCAUAACCCAUCUGUGAAGCAGGGAGAAGUCCAAGCUUCCUCAUGAAGAGGAUCACAUCAAGGGCUGGUCCGUCAGGCUCUAAAUUUUUAAAUGUGUACAUUUCAGAAUCACAGAAAUCUUAGAAGAUAUUGGACAGCUAAAGCUUUGAAGCAACGAGACUUUAGAUCCUCUCUCCUCAUUCCUAUUUUCCUCAUCAUAAAAACCUUUUCAAGAAGCAGAAGAAUAAUGAAAGAGAUGGGGCCAACACUCUCAGAGUGCAAUAAUCUCAAAUGGAGGUCCUCAGAGAUAGCCUGUUGGAAGCUGGAUAUCACAAAUCUCAGAAGGAAACAAUUGAGAAGCAGACACAGAAGUCAAACUUUAUCAAUAAGCUAAAUUGGAAGAAAGGGCUUAGCACACAGUAUUUCCUAAUCUUUCCUGCCAACCAUUUAUUUAAGCUCAGAUCUUGGGAAGCCCAUCUAAGGGUUUCCAAAGAGAAAAUACUACUUAUCAAGAAUCAUGCAUUUCCUGUUGCAGAGUAGAAAUAAACAAAAUCAAGAAAUCUCCAGUGCUCACACAAUUUUAACAGGUUUGGCCAAUACAACAGAUAAAUGAAAACCAACAGAUGUC